rnacentral:rRNA from 1 species
GACGAACGCUGGCGGCGUGCUUAACACAUGCAAGUCGAACGGAAAGGCCUCUUUCGGGUGGUACUCUAGUGUCGAACGGGUGAGUAACACGUGAGUAUCCUGCCCUUUACUUUGGGAUAACUUCAGGAAACUGUGGCUAAUACCGGAUAGGAGCUCCUGCUGUAUGGUGGGGGUUGGAAAGUUUCGGCGGUUGGGGAUGGACUCGCGGCUUAUCAGCUUGUUGGUGGGGUAUUGGCUUACCAAGGCUUUGACGGGUAGCCGGCCUGAGAGGGUGACCGGCCAAAUUGGGACUGAGAAACGGCCCAGACUCCUAAGGGAGGAAGAAGUGGGGAAUAUUGAACAAGGGGUGGAAGCCUGAUGCAGCAACGCCGGGUGCGGGAUGACGGCCUUCGGGUUGUAAACCGCUUUCGCCUGUGACGAAGCGUGAGUGAAGGGAAUGGGUAAAGAAGCACCGGCUAAAUAAGUG